UCAAGAAGGAGCCUGGACACAGUGAGAAGUGAAGAGGCUAGGACAAAGGGUGGCAGAAUCUCUAACUAUUUCCUGGCUCUGUCACUUAACCAAGCAGAAAUAAAGAUUUUUUUGACUGUUUGGAAAGUUUGUGGCCCUAAGCCGUUUUACUUAAUGUUUAAUUUACAACAAAUAAACCAUUCAGCUUAAAGUCUAUGCCUACAUUUCUGAGAACAGCCAAGUAGAGAGUGUACGACAGAGCAGUAACAGUUGGCUGGCAUUGAAAUAAAUUCACGGCAACUACAGAGCGCUACAGUCUAGAGUCGACAUUCAAGUGUUUGGAAAAAAUAAAAGAAGGAAGAAAUAAAAGAAAAGAAAAGAGAGAGAAUUUAAGAUCUCUUGAUUCCUGAACACGGUGAAAAGUAAAAGUCAACGAAGAGUGAUUUCUGGCUAUGGCAGAAUCCAGAUGUCAGACUGGGAGAUGAUGAAGUGACAUUGAUUUGAACUAAGUGAGGAGCUUCAGUUGUCCAUUGUCGAAGCUGACAUCAGCCUCUACCCACCAUCAGUUGUCUUUUAUUAGACAAACUUGAACAAACAACUUUGUCUAAGCUGGGAGAGAAGGAGCUUUGGAGUGACGGAAGGAAGCCAAGACCUGUGAAUAUGCAAAGAAACACAGCUAGAAUCAUCAGAGUGAUCCCACAAGGAAGACACAUGCUCCUGAAAGAAAGGCCAAAUUUUAAAGUUUUGUGAUCAGCAUUUCUCCCAAUAAAUCAAUAUUCCAUCUUGAUGUCUGCCCCUGAAGAGCCUGAACUGAUGAAUAAGGGGUUUUUGAGACGCAUCUUCAGGAGUGGCCAUUGCAGACAGAACAGAUGAUAGAAGAGCAAGAAGACCUUAGCAAGACAGCUUUCACACUUCUCUUCCAGCUUAACUAAAGUUGCUCGCUUUUACAGAAUUCAUAAAUUUGAAUUUGAUGAAAGAUUUCAUUUAAAGCUGUGUAAGUGCUAAAAAAUAAAUGAAUAAAACCACUGCCAACUUGA
rnacentral:lncRNA from 1 species